UGGGGAAUUUUGGACAAUGGACGCAAGUCUGAUCCAGCCAUUCCGCGUGCAGGAUGAAGGCCCUCGGGUUGUAAACUGCUUUUGUACGGAACGAAAAGGCUUUCUCUAAUACGGAGAGCUGAUGACGGUACCGUAAGAAUAAGCACCGGCUAACUACGUGCCAGCAGCCGCGGUAAUACGUAGGGUGCGAGCGUUAAUCGGAAUUACUGGGCGUAAAGCGUGCGCAGGCGGUGAUGUAAGACAGGUGUGAAAUCCCCGGGCUUAACCUGGGAACUGCAUUUGUGACUGCAUCGCUGGAGUGCGGCAGAGGGGGAUGGAAUUCCGCGUGUAGCAGUGAAAUGCGUAGAUAUGCGGAGGAACACCGAUGGCGAAGGCAAUCCCCUGGGCCUGCACUGACGCUCAUGCACGAAAGCGUGGGGAGCAAACAG
rnacentral:rRNA from 1 species